rnacentral:rRNA from 1 species
GUCUACAGCCAUGCCACCCUGAACAUACCUGAUCUUGUCUGAUCUCUGAAGCUAAGCAGGGUUUGGCCUGAUUAGUACUUGGAUAGGAGACUACCUAGGAAUACUAGGUGCCGUAGGCA